GGGCGCAUAGCUCAGGGGUAGAGCGCCACCUUGACACGGUGGAGGCCCGUGGUUCGAAACCACGUGCGCCCA
rnacentral:tRNA from 1 species